UAAAGAUAAACCAAUAACUCCAGUUACGAUAACGUCAACGCCGUUCUAAAGUUUCGCUCCUUUUUCCCAAAUAAAAAAUGUUUGAUUCAAAUUAGGAACUCCUCAAAAUUUCUCAAUUUCGCGUAAAUCAAACCUAAUUUAAUUAUCUCGUCCUUUUCAAAACCCUAAUUACUGUCUAACUAAACCCUAAUUCUCAACCAUGUUAUAAGCGAACAAUUUCUGUUUUGAUUGCAGAGAAAACAACAGAAUAUUUAGCUGAGAAAGUGAAUACGCAAUGAAGUUUUGCAGCUCUUGUGGAAAAAAAGGUCUCCACAACUCGCGAAGAUGAUGAAAUCGAGUCAUGCAAUAUCUGCGGGAAAGUUUUGGCGUUUCCGGGUCUCAGAGCUGAUCCCCUAUUUAUAAAUGGGGAGGUAGUGCCGAGACUAAUAUCGAAAAUCCCAAGUGAAAACAUUUCACGGGAAAGGUUGUAUGAAAAAGGUUUGUUUUGUUGCGCUUCUUUCCUUGUUUGUUCUACAAUACAUCUGUUUCCUAUAAAAAAGUUUCGAGCAUGUGCCAUUGUUUUCAAAUUUCUUGCUAGAAUAGAUAGAAAACUGUGUUUACUUGCCAAAAGUUGAAACUGAAUGACCAUGUUUCCAUUUUUUCAAGUUUGUGAAAGUUGAAGUUUUACUUAGUAAUUGAACUAAAUUAUUUGAAUUUUGAUUAGUGUAGUUAGCUAAUUAGUAUAUAUGCUUUCGAAUAAUUUGGUUAAAACAAAAGUUUUAUGAAGAGUACACCAUCAUUUUUCUGCAAAGUGCUGUUGGUUGCAAUUUAUCACAAGUUAUUGUUUAAAUUUGUAUAAUUUAUGCAUUUUAGUUCAAUUUCAACCUGAUAAACUGCAUGGAGAGGAUGAUAUGACUUCUAAUUCUUUUGAUGACUCAAAUGACUUUUCUGAUAUAGAUGAUGCUGAGGUGAACAACCAUUUUUGUGUUUUUCUAGGCAUAUUACUACUUGUCUAAUUCCACCUUUGAAUCCUAUGAAUGUUUGAUGAAUAUGAAAAUGAAGAGUUAGUGUAGGAGAUCUAAAAAUUCAAAUAGCAUUUGCUGAUUUUCUCUGCUCACGGUUGCUUUGGUGGCCUUCUUGCCAGAAAUAUCAGAGGAAUUAAUUCAAGUAAAAGUAAUCAUAUUUCGUAUUUCCUACAACUUAUAGCCGAAUUCUAUGCACAGCGUUGCUGUUAUAUCUGAUCUUUCAUGUUCCAAAAACAACCACAAUUUUUUAAGCAUGAAUUGCAAUUCGAAGAUAUAGAAACUGGCAUGAUUCCGUGUUCAAGCUCUGUGAUUUGUGAUUUACAGGAACACUCAUGCCAUCUUCAUUCCUGCUUGUUAUUGCUGUUAUCAUAGAUGUUAUUAUUCAAGAUUUGUCUCGUUCUAGUAUUACUUUGUUCUCUCUUGUGAGUGCAUGCGUUCAGCGAUCAUGCACAUGCAGGUUUGUUUAUGCUUGCCCUUGGGAUUUUCAGGAACUCUUAUGCAAUCUUCUUCAUGCCUGCUAAAUUGAUUUCUAGUGCUUUUUGUUAUCAUAAAUACUAUUUUAAACAAGAUUUGUGUUGUUCCGGUGUUGCCUUGUGCACUCUUGUGAGUGUGUGCACAUGCAGUCUGUGUGAUGCAAUCUUUCAUAGGAGUACCACCUAUCAUGAAUGCCAUCCAUGUUUCACACAAUUCCAUCCAGGUUGACCAUUUUUCUAUCCAUGUACCCCCCCCCCCCAUUCAGCUACAAUGCUCAUCAUUCCUGCAUUUGUAACAUCCAUUCAGCUACAAUGCUCAUCAUUCCUGCAUUUGUAACAUCACUUGUCGAGUUUUAAUUGACUUUAUUAUGUUUUUGGUCAAAUUAUUUGCACAACAAAUAAAACCUCUUCCUCUUUUUUCCUCAAAAGCCCAUAGGAUUUACAAAAUGAAUGCGUUGACAUUACGGAGAAAUAUGUCAACUGCUCAAAUAGUAAGCCUGCAUGCAUGGCUGCUAUGAUCGUACUUGCAACUCUUUCCUGGAAAGGCAACAUAAACGAGUAGCAGAAGCUAGGAACUCAGUUCCUGCCAAAUCUGCUGCAGAAGCCGUCCACCAAAUGCUAACUACGAAGGUAUAGGAACUCAGUUCCUGCUAAAUCUGCUGCUGAAGCCGUCCACCAAAUGUUAACUACAAAGAGACGCAGUUCCAAGAUCAACUAUGAUGCAUUGGAGAAACUCUUUGAGGAACCUGGGACUGAGGAUGCCAAGAAACUGCGCUGAAUCUCUCUGACAAUUUUGAGAAGUUGUCUAAUACAAAUGGAGAAGAUCUUGAAUUAGAGGACAUGAACCAAAAUGAUGGUUUCGGGUCACAACAUGAAAUCAAGGAUGAUGAUGAUGUUCAAGAAGCAUAUGAUGAUGAUGAUCUUUGUAAUGAUAUUGCUGAUGAAAGAUGUGAUUGUGAUUGUCAUAACUCAUUUUUUGAUCCUUUUAUUUUAAUUAUUAUUAUUAUUUUA